UACGUAGGGAGCGAGCGUUGUCCGGAUUUAUUGGGCGUAAAGGGCUUUUAGGCGGCUUGAUAAGUCGGAUGUGAAAUCUCCAGGCUCAACCUGGAGUCGCCAUUCGAUACUGUCAUGGCUUGAGUUCGGUAGGGGACCACGGAAUUCCCGGUGUAGCGGUGAAAUGCGCAGAUAUCGGGAGGAACACCAGUGGCGAAGGCGGUGGUCUGGGCCGAUACUGACGCUGAAGAGCGAAAGCGUGGGGAGCGAACAGG
rnacentral:misc_RNA from 1 species